GGCAACAGCUCAAAUUUGAAAUCUGGCCUCUUUCGGGGUCCGAGUUGUAAUUUGUAGAGGAUGUUUCGGAAAGGCUUUGAUUUAAGUUUCUUGGAACAGAACGUCAUAGAGGGUGAGAAUCCCGUCUAGAAUCUAUAGCCGUAUCCAUGUGAAACUCCUUCGAC
rnacentral:rRNA from 1 species